UCCAUGGUCGUCCAUCGCGACAGUAUAGACACCAGACACCAUUUCUUGCGUGAGCCAUAGUUGAUGUCAUCUGUCUUCCAUGGCUCAGCCUCCCAAUCCCAAGAGAAGGUCGUCCCUACCUCUCCCUGACUGGAGAUCCGGCCUGCCAGAGGAACUCCUCCAGUCCAUCGCGCAACGUCUCGCGUCGGGCCACGACGCGGCGUCCUUCCGAUCCGCUUGCUCCCCGUGGCGCGCCGCCGUCCCGUUCGCGACCUUCGGGCCGCUCCUGCUGCUGCCGUUCGACCCCGACUCGGACCGCGUCGACUUCUACUGCGCCUCGGAGGAGAAGGUCUUCUCCAAGACGCUGCCCGACGUGCGCGGCAAGGUGGCGUGCGGCUCGUCGUGCGGGUGGCUGGCGCUCAUGGACGAGGCGGCGUCCGUGACGCUGCUAAAUCCGUUCGCCGGUGCCCGUGCCCGUGCCCGUGCGCAACGCGUUGAGCUCCCGCCGGCAGGCGAACACGUCGCGGCGGCGUCCUCGUCGGAACCCGUGUCUAAGGUCCACGGCCGGUGGGUCGUCCAUCCCACCAACAACGGCUACGGGAACGCGGAUGCUGCGGGCAGAGGCAUCAAGCUAGAAGACAUGAGGGACGUGUUCUUCCGUGAGAUCGUGCUCUCCGCGCCGCCUGACGCCGACGGCGGCAGCGAGUGCGUGGCCAUGGCCAUGCUUGGGUGCUCCACGGAGGUCGCGUUCUGCCGGGUUGGAGUCGACAGCGCAUGGACGCUGCUCGACACCAAACUGGACUGCUCCGUGGCCUCCGUCGUCCACUGCCAGGACAAGUUCUUGGCGAUCGACUACACUGGAGAAAUCUCCAUCUGCAGCAUCAGCAACGCCGCCGCCGGUGCAACACCAACCGCGACGCUGCUGCCGUCGCUGUCGCCACCUGCGGGGCUCUGCCACCGCAGCUACCUGGAAUCAAACGGUGAGCUGCACAUUGUGGGUGCCAUGGUGAGCACGUUCCACGAGACACAGAGCUUCGCCUACAGCAGCGCGAUCUACAAGUGCAACCUCCACGACCGUACGCCGGAGUGGUCCAGGGUGAGGGACAUCGGUGAUCGGACACUGUUCGUGUCUAAACAUUUCAAGGGAGGCUUCAGUGGAACAAGUGUAUCCAUGUAUAAAGAGAACAAAAUCUACAUGUCUGAACCCUUGUAUGGGGAUCCAUACGACUUGGUCCAUCGUUUGGAGAUCGUUGAUAUUUCUACCGGCACAUCUGAAGUGAAGCCCGUCCACGAAAAGACGAUGCAGGGUUCCGAGGCUCUAGGUUGGAUUCGACCCAAUCUCUGGAAGGGAGGUGGGUUUUCAAAGCACAACAAGGAAAGAUCACAUACAGAAGCAACUUCUAAUGUGACACGCUCGUCUGAACCUGCAGCAGAGAUCAAGUCUGGUGGUUUUGUUCAGUCUAAGAAUACUUGAGACACAGAUUCCUGUCCUUGCCCUAGCAAUCAACAAUCACUGAGCUCAGAUGAUUGUACAGGAACUGUGGUUACUUUAUGGUUUCAUGUAAUGGUGGGCAGAACCAAAUGCGAGCAGCAGUAAGCAACUGGAAAAACCUUAUUUAAUUUGUAUUGAUUGAUUGAGCAGUUGGUAAAAUAUAGAACUAUGGAUAUUUGAUGGUUGUAAUGAUAUUGACUCUGGUGUUGACUAUAUUUGAUGGAUGUAAUGAUCUAAACAUGAUGUUAACUGUAA